UAUGACUCUCGGCAAUGGAUAUCUUAGCUCUUGCAUCGAUGAAGAGCGCAGCAAAAUGCGAUGCGUGGUGCGAAUUGCAAAAUCCCGUGAACCAUCGAUUUUUUUAAUGCAAAUUGCGCCUGAGGCCAACUAGCCAAGGGCACGUCCGCCUGGGCGUCAUGC
rnacentral:rRNA from 2 species